rnacentral:rRNA from 1 species
GCGGCGUGCCUAAUACAUGCAAGUCGAGCGAACAGAUAAGGAGCUUGCUCCUUUGACGUUAGCGGCGGACGGGUGAGUAACACGUGGAUAACCUACCUAUAAGACUGGGAUAACUUCGGGAAACCGGAGCUAAUACCGGAUAACAUAUUGAACCGCAUGGUUCAAUAGUGAAAGGCGGCUUUGCUGUCACUUAUAGAUGGAUCCGCGCCGUAUUAGCUAGUUGGUAAGGUAACGGCUUACCAAGGCAACGAUACGUAGCCGACCUGAGAGGGUGAUCGGCCACACUGGAACUGAGACACGGUCCAGACUCCUACGGGAGGCAGCAGUAGGGAAUCUUCCGCAAUGGGCGAAAGCCUGACGGAGCAACGCCGCGUGAGUGAUGAAGGUCUUCGGAUCGUAAAACUCUGUUAUCAGGGAAGAACAAAUGUGUAAGUAACUGUGCACAUCUUGACGGUACCUGAUCAGAAAGCCACGGCUAACUACGUGCCAGCAGCCGCGGUAAUACGUAGGUGGCAAGCGUUAUCCGGAAUUAUUGGGCGUAAAGCGCGCGUAGGCGGUUUUUUAAGUCUGAUGUGAAAGCCCACGGCUCAACCGUGGAGGGUCAUUGGAAACUGGAAAACUUGAGUGCAGAAGAGGAAAGUGGAAUUCCAUGUGUAGCGGUGAAAUGCGCAGAGAUAUGGAGGAACACCAGUGGCGAAGGCGACUUUCUGGUCUGUAACUGACGCUGAUGUGCGAAAGCGUGGGGAUCAAACAGGAUUAGAUACCCUGGUAGUCCACGCCGUAAACGAUGAGUGCUAAGUGUUAGGGGGUUUCCGCCCCUUAGUGCUGCAGCUAACGCAUUAAGCACUCCGCCUGGGGAGUACGACCGCAAGGUUGAAACUCAAAGGAAUUGACGGGGACCCGCACAAGCGGUGGAGCAUGUGGUUUAAUUCGAAGCAACGCGAAGAACCUUACCAAAUCUUGACAUCCUUUGACCGCUCUAGAGAUAGAGUCUUCCCCUUCGGGGGACAAAGUGACAGGUGGGCAUGGUUGUCGUCAGCUCGUGUCGUGAGAUGUUGGGUUAAGUCCCGCAACGAGCGCAACCCUUAAGCUUAGUUGCCAUCAUUAAGUUGGGCACUCUAAGUUGACUGCCGGUGACAAACCGGAGGAAGGUGGGGAUGACGUCAAAUCAUCAUGCCCCUUAUGAUUUGGGCUACACACGUGCUACAAUGGACAAUACAAAGGGCAGCUAAACCGCGAGGUCAAGCAAAUCCCAUAAAGUUGUUCUCAGUUCGGAUUGUAGUCUGCAACUCGACUACAUGAAGCUGGAAUCGCUAGUAAUCGUAGAUCAGCAUGCUACGGUGAAUACGUUCCCGGGUCUUGUACACACCGCCCGUCACACCACGAGAGUUUGUAACACCCGAAGCCGGUGGAGUAACCAUUUAUGGAGCUAGCCGUCGAAG